rnacentral:rRNA from 1 species
GAGUUUGAUCGUGGCUCAGAUUGAACGCUGGCGGCAUGCCUUACACAUGCAAGUCGAACGGUAACAGGUCUUCGGACGCUGACGAGUGGCGAACGGGUGAGUAAUACAUCGGAACGUGCCCAGUCGUGGGGAGUAACUACUCGAAAGAGUAGCUAAUACCGCAUACGAUCUGAGGAUGAAAGCGGGGGACCGUUCGGGCCUCGCGCGAUUGGAGCGGCCGAUGGCAGAUUAGGUAGUUGGUGGGAUAAAAGCUUACCAAGCCG